UUGUCCUCCUCUUGUCCCCUCACAGCUCCUGUAAAAGCUCAGCUCACUGUGCACAAAAGAAUGAAAGAUUCAUGAACUGAAAGCACAGAAAGGGAAGAACAAGGCUCUGUAAUAGUGACAGGCAGAAUAAUAUGUAUUACAGCAUAAAUAAAUCCAGCAUCAAUCUACACCCGUGUCUUCACAGUGGUAAAAUGGACCAAUUGUAAUAAUUCCUCAGGUCUGAAAAAGAAUAUAGGAGUGCUAUUUUUUG
rnacentral:lncRNA from 1 species